CCCUUAGAUGUUCUGGGCCGCACGCGCGCUUCACUGAUGCAUUCAACGAGCCUAUCCUUGACCGACAGGUCCGGGUAAUCUUUGAAUCUGCAUCGUGACGGGGAUAGAUUAUUGCAAUUAUUAAUCUUCAACGAGGAAUGCCUAGUAGGCGCAAGUCAUCAGCUUGCGUCGAUUACGUCCCUGCCCUUUGUACACACCGCCCGUCGCUCCUACCGAUUGGGUGUGCUGGUGAAAUGUUCGGAUCGGCCGUUUGUCGCGGUUUCCGCGUCAUGUGGCUGAGAAGUUCAUUAAACCCUCCCACCUAGAGGAAGGAGAAGUCGUAACA
rnacentral:rRNA from 1 species